rnacentral:lncRNA from 1 species
CGCACGACAUGGUCACGUGCUAUAAAUAUCAAUAUUUGAGAUCUGCAUGGCGUGUUCACCUUUAAUAAUUACAAUCCACCCGGCGUGGUCACAUGCUUAAUAUCACAAUCUAGUCGGCAUGGCCACAAGCUCAAUAUCACAAUUAGCAUGGUAUAGACAGGUGCUCAAAAUCACAAUCCGCCCGAUGUAGUCACAUACUUAAUAUAUAUUGGCUUUCACCUUUGGUAAAUAUACACACAAAUUAACUUGAUUAAGCAUAGAAAAAAACUCAAAUACUAUAAUGGCUAAGCAACAAAACCAAAAGUCUGUAGAAAUCCCCUCACAAAAAACUCCAACCCCCACCUAUCAAUAUUGAACUGCAGGCUGUCAAAGCACAAAUGAAGGAACUGGCUAAGGAGGUCAACAGUAUCCGUCACACCAUUCAAGACAAAUUGUACCAUAUUAGGGAAAUGCUGGCAGAUAUAGUAGAGAAUAUUCUUGGUGGUACUGGUCGCCUUUUCCCAGAUCACUCUGAUAUGGGUAGUGAUUAGUAUCUUUUAUGAUAUUUAUGUAAUAUUAUCCUCCACGCUUCUAUCUCGCAUUUUGUUUCUUUAUAUGAAAUAUGGAGGAUUUAGUAGAUUUUAUUUC